UGGGACAGAAAAGGUGGGGAAGUGGAAUUCACUGCAGAACCACAUCCAAAAUGUACAUGUUCAUGAGAACCACCUCUUCCCCAAGUGUGAACACCCAGACAAAGUUUCCAGGGAUCCAAAAAAAUGGAUCCAACCAGGAUCAAUAGCGCUCCAUAAAGUGGAAAAGCUAUUAUACAACAAGAGAGUUCUCAAGGAUAUAGAAAAGCUCAGCCACAACUUUCAGACGUCAUCACUGGAGGCUUUCCACAGUCUGAUUUUGCGUUUUGCCCCAAAGAACGUGAUUUUCCCUUUCAUAGGAAUGUUGUGCAGGCUGUAUCUUGCAGCAAUGCACUAUGAUGAAAAUGCUAACCGUGAGCAGGC